CGCCGUCCCAGAUAGGCCUGAGGCAUGGGCCCGGCCCAGAGUUUUUAAUCAAAGCCCAAAACAAAGGCUACGCAUCUCUGAGCCCGCGCAAGACAAGCCCACACACGAUUGGGCUCGGUUGGCCCAAAUUGAUCGAAACCCUACCCGGUGAGUCAUCAGGGACGGCGUCGGGGGCCGCGAGACUGGGUGGCAUCGUCGGUGGCGAUUGGACGACGACGGAGGUCUGGUGCAGCGACGACGUCAAGGGGGUCAUGGUUGGUUUGUUGGGGACGGAGUCGGGGGUGAACGAUGACGGCAGCUGACCUGGUCCUGAAGUGGAUGGUGGUGGCACAAUUCGAAGCAGCUGGCCUGACGCUAGGUCAUAGUGACAGCGUCGAUCGACUCCCAGAUCUGGCCUCUACUGUCCCUCGCCCUCAGAUCUGGGUCUCCGGACCUCCUCCGAUCUCCUCCUCUCUCUGAAUCCGACCCUCCUCACCGGCCAACCUCGGAUCUCAGCCUGCUGGGCCUCCUUUGAUAUCUCUCAGGGGAGGUUAUCGAAGCUGGCAAUCCGUCACCCUCUUCUGGCAUGUCCCCUUUGACCGAAAUUUAGGUGUCAACAUCCAUUAGUCUACACGAUUGGGAUUAUUCUAGAAAGCUUGAAUGAUGAAAGCUAAACAAUCUCACAACGUGCAAAUUCAACCCGCCCGUUGUGAUACCGUAUCCAUAUACCAAUAAGUCAACGGAGAAAUAGAGACUGAGACAAAAGAACAGUCGGGAUUUCAAGAUUACCAAAGCCAUUGUCCUAAAGAUUAGCAGCUUAACCAACAAAUCACACAUAAAAGCAUACGUUACAUAAGUACGUAUACGCAUAUAUACAUUCUUAUAUGUAUGUGCACGCAUGUAUGGUUGUUGACUUAUUUGAGAUGCCUGGCAAUCAAGGGUCAUGCACAACUCAUAUCCACCGAAGAACACAUCUGGAUGUGUGUGCAUGUGAAGGAAAAGCCUGGAGCAAUGCGAACAAGCUAGCACAACCAAUUAUCUGUAGAGUAUCUCUGCGUCUUCCGGCGUGUACAUCGCCUUUUCCGUUGCAGCUCUCACGAGUUGGGAAAUUCCAGAGAAAAGCACGAAUGGUUCACCGAUCAUCUCUCUCUCUCUCUCUCUCUCUCUCUCUCUCUCUCUCUCUCGCUCUCUCUCGC
rnacentral:lncRNA from 1 species